AAGAGGUGAAGAAGGGUAGACCAAACAGGGACUGGCCAAAUGGGAGAGAGAAUUGCUUCUGGGAGGGGUCUGCUGUGAGGUCAGUCUGAAUCUACAGUGGAGGCCUACAGUAGGAGCCGGCUGUAGACAGAGUCAAUGGUUUUCCUCAAGAGGAGGCACAAGAAGAGCUCCAGCAGUGGGACACGAGGGAAAUAUAUAAGAGGUCAUGCCAGAGAUAUCUUCACGACUGAAAGAGUUUGAGCCUGAGCUUAUUUGCUGUUAUGAACUUCAACAGCAGAAGAGGGAAGACAAGCGUAAGAAAAAUCCCUGAUAACUGAAAUAGUCCUCUCAGUAACUCUAAUAACCUGUGGCCAAUUUUUUUGAAGUGUAGACAACUUCAGCUAAUGAAAAUACUGACAAAACAGGUUUGCUGCACAAUGCAGUCGGAAGAUCAUAUUUGACUCCAGGUAAUGAAGAUAAAUACAUGCACCUAAGGAUUGGCUGACAUUUACAUUGUGUCUUGUGUUUAUAAAACCAGAGUGACCCCAAUGAUUAUUUGGUUCAUAUCUAGGUCUGAGGGUAUUAGAACUGGUCUCUCAUAUUUUUAGUUGAUUUCUUGAUGACAACACAUAUCUGACUUGGGUUUAUAAAAACUUUAAAAAUCCCUGCACUUUCUAUGUAUUUCUCUAAAAUUACAGAGGAACUUGGAAAAGGUAAAUUAUCUUUUAAUAAAAAGGAGGCUCAUAUUAGCCCUUCUGUUUUUUUCACAAAGCACAAGGAAAGAUAGUAUUCAACACUAAUAUUUUCCCUCCAAAUCUAUCAAAUACACAGG